ACCUAUAAAUUGUUGAAAUAACCACUCAAAAGAUUUUCCUAACCUAACAAUAACAUACAUAGUUGAAACAACCAUCCUAAAGGCCUAAACAAAAAUUUUAGGCAUAAAAAAGGCAUCCAUGAGUAGCAUUUAAAGUUGACAUGAAUGACGCUUGGAUUCAAACAUAAGUUACAUAACGCCUUGAUUUAUGUUAUUUUACUGGCAUUCUUUAUACUGAUGGUUUUUUCUUUUCAAUUUCGAGAUAAGGUAAUGUAUCUAAUUAGGAAAAUUACACACGAUGAACGACACCUUCGAAGUCUGACAAUGUGAAUCCCACAUAUCCUGAAAGGCUCCUUCAGCUGCUGCUCCAUUUGAAUUAUGGGGCAGCAAGACAACGACAUAUCAUUGAAAAGUCAUAAGAUUCUUUGAUGGCAGCAAUGGCUGAUUCAAUGGUCAUUGGUUCCAUGACUCAAAUGACCUGUUGUUAUCAUCAUGAUGUAUGAUUGGAUAAAUAAUUGAGGGGCAAGAUUGAGCGAGCCAGCUGCCUCCAUGUGGUGAAAUCUCAUAGCCUACAAGUGAAACCAUCGCUUGGUUAUCAAGUAAUCAACCAAAAGCACACUGGUAAGAAGUCUCAUUCAUUAAGGUGGCAUGCGUAUCCAUCUAAAUGACUUCACGGUUCAUAUCUUAGCAUUUUUUUGUGUGAUUCUCUCUGGUUCAGAUUUUCAGAUCCUUCUUCAAAACAGAACAUCUGAAUGAGCAGUCUUUUUUUUAAUAAGAAUGUUGCACGUUAAUUUCUGCACCCACAUAAAUUACUUUUGGUAAAUAAUCACCUACAAGUUGUUGAAAUAACCACUUGAAAGAUAAAAAACCACCCCUAAAGGUCUAAAAAGUUUUUAGGCAUGACGUAAACAAAGGCUUCAGUGAGUAGCAUUUAAAGUUGAUGUGAAUGGCACUUGGAUUCAAACAUAACCGCCUUCAUUUAUGCUAUUUAACUGACAUUUGUUUAUACCAGUGGUUUGUUCUUAUCAGUUUUGAUUUAAGAUGAUGUACCUAAUUUUGAGGUAAGAUGGUGUACCAUUCAAGUCAGACAACGUGAAUUGGACAUUUCCUGGAAGCUGCUCCGGCCUUUGAACCAUUGGGCAGUAAUAAGACAGCGACAUAUCAUUGAAAAGUCAUAAGAUGCUUGUGUGGACUAUAUU
rnacentral:lncRNA from 1 species